rnacentral:rRNA from 1 species
GCAUUUUCAAAAACGGAGGAAAAGAAACCAACAGGGAUUGCCUCAGUAACGGCGAGUGAAGCGGCAAAAGCUCAAAUUUGAAAUCCUUCGGGAGUUGUAAUUUGUAGGUUGGGAGACCCCGCGGCUAGUGGCACCAAGUCCCUUGGAACAGGGCGCCUUAGAGGGUGAGAGCCCCGUAGGUACCACAACACCGUCUUGUGUCUCCUCUCCAAAGAGUCGAGUUGUUUGGGAAUGCAGCUCAAAGUGGGUGGUAAAUUCCAUCUAAAGCUAAAUACCGGCGAGAGACCGAUAGCGAACAAGUACAGUGAUGGAAAGAUGAAAAGCACUUUGAAAAGAGAGUGAAACAGUACGUGAAAUUGUUGAAAGGGAAGGGCUUGCAAGCAGACACGGCCUUCGUGCCGGGCCAGCAUCGGUUGCUAGGGGUGGAUAAGGAACAAGGAAUGUAGCUCCUCGGAGUAUUAUAGCCUUGCGCGAUACACCCACUGGCGACCGAGGCCUGCGGUAUUCCUACCUAGGAUGCUGGCGUAAUGGUUGCAAGCCGCCCGUCUUGAACACCGGACCCCAAUC